rnacentral:rRNA from 1 species
UACGUAGGGGGCAAGCGUUGUCCGGAAUCAUUGGGCGUAAAGAGCGUGUAGGCGGCCAGAUAAGUCCGCUGUGAAAUCUCGAGGCUCAACUUCGAGCUGUCGGUGGAAACUGUCUGGCUAGAGUCCGGAAGAGGAGAAUGGAAUUCCUGGUGUAGCGGUGAAAUGCGCGAUAUCAGGAAGAACACCCGUGGCGAAGGCGGUUCUCUGGGACGGUACUGACGCUGAGACGCGAAAGCGUGGGGAGCGAACAG